UUUUAACUGUAUUUUUAAUAACGCUUAAAUCAAAAACACCGCAAAAUGUAAAACAUCAGCGGCGUUUCGCAAAAGUAAAGCAAUAGCGGUGUUCGCCAAAGGUAAAACAAUAGUGGCUUUACAGAAAAAUGCUAAAGUAAUAGCCGCCUUUCUCCCAUAACCACUGACAAAAACCUAAAAGGUAAAGUACUCUGUCUCUUUUAUCCUCUCUUUGCCAUCAGCCGCCGCAUCCGGCGACCUCCUACCACCACCCCUAGCUCGUCAUUGCAAAACCUCACUCACUUACGUUGGCUCGUCCGUACCCUCGGGCACUAUCUACCUCCACUUUAACGUCGUUCUCUGUUCUGCACUUUGUUUACUUCUCUCUUUCCCUCUUCCUUCCGUCAUCUUCGUUGCUCGUUCUUCCGUCUUUGCUGCUUUUUACUCCGUUCACCGGACUCUCUCUAGUUUUAUUUUCUCUUUGUUUAUCUUUUAUCUUUGGCUGGAUCUUCUCGUUGCGGUGUCUAUACGAAGGGAUCAACAACUCCAGACACCAGAAAAAGUAACAAAUACUCUCACAUACUCUCACUCUUUUCCUUUUUCAUUUCGACGGGACUAACGCUAAAUUACAGACACGGGACUCAAAGGUUCGUUGCAAUUCGGCUGUUGGCCAUGGGAGUUAGUGCUGCAAUGCUUUUAAACUUGAUUAUGUGCAUGCUUUGUUUAUUCAUGUCAAGAAUUCAUACUGAAAACAGGGAAUCAGUUAUUGAGUAGAACUCUUUACUCAGUGCCCUGUAUCAACGUAUCAUCCUUUCAGGAUUUUUGAAGGCAAUUUUUCUCUGUUCUUUUGUGAAUGUAUCCUAGUUUAUGAGGCUUUCUAUGAUGAGGCAUUUUGCCUGUUUGUUAUUAUUGUGUCUAACUUUAUAUCCUCUCUAAUGAUUGUAGCUUGUAUUUGGUAGGGUGACAACUCUUUCAUGGAUUCAAAGAAAUCUGAUCUUCCAGGAUAUGCUGUAGGUUCCUUACUUGCUAAGCUCUUUCCUAAUUAAUAUUUGGUGCCUCUGUGAAUAAUGUCUACUUUCUUGUAAUACUGGCCUCCAACGUGCUGUGCCUGGUUCUUAGAAACAAUAUUGACCUAGGUGAUUAACUUACAAUGUGUUUUUUUAUCCAAUGCAUAUAUAUAUUUUAUCUAUUUAACCAGCUUUUUGCGACUAAUAUUUUUUUCAGCUUGCACAUGUGUCUUUUGAGCAAUUGAAUUCAUCAAAAGACAUUACAGAAGAAAUUCUUUUAUCAUGUUCUUGGUUGCAUCACCUAUUAAGGAAACAUAUAUUUCCUUAGUAUGUCUCUCAAUAAGGCAUUUCUUUUAUAUAUUUAACCAGCUUUCUGCAAGUAAAUUUUUCCUUCAUCUUGCAGGGACGUGUCUUGUGAGUACAUGAAUUCAUCUAAAGACAUUACAAAAGAAAUUCUUUUAUCAUGUUCUCGGUAGCAUCACCCAUUAAGAAAACAUUUCAUUAGCAUGUCUCUCAAUAAAGCAUCUUUUUUUGGUAUUCCUUUGAGGUUUUUCAAUGGUAUCCUACAAUCUUGACAGGUUGGCUUUUUGUGAUGAAUGAAAUUUAGCUGAGUUGUUCAUUUAUUACUUUGUUUUACUUUUAGGCUUUUAUAUCGAAAUCUUAUUCAGAAUGAGUUUUAUCCAAUGAAUUAACUCUGUUUUACCCCUUCUUAUGAGUAGAUUUUAGAUACUGCGAAAGGCUCUAUAACAUUGGAGCUCUUCAAGGACAGUUCUCCUGAAGUUGUUGAUCAAUUUCUUGAUUUAUGAGGUGCUUUGAAGAUUGCUGCUCUCAAAGCUCCCAGCUUCGGAGAACGCAAGAGUCAGUAUCUGGAUGACAUUGCUAUCCUUACUGGAGGUACUGUUAUUAGAGAUGAGGUUGGGCUUUCCUUGGACAAAGCUAGCAAAGAAGUCUUGGGUCAUGCCUCUAAAGUGGUGCUUACCAAGGAUACAACCACCAUCGUGGGUGAUGGAAGCACUCUGGAAGCAGUGAAUAAACGAGUUGCUGCAGAACAGGAUUAUGAGAAGGAAAAACUUAAACGAAAGGAUUGCUAAAUUAUCUGGUGGUCUGGCAGUGAUACAGGUUGGAGCUCAAACUGAAACAGAGCUUAAAGAAAAGAAAUUGAGAGUAGAAGAUGCUCUUAAUGCAACUAAGGUGGUCAGAUGUUGCUUGGCGCAUGCAGCAUCAGGAUACGGCUACUAAAGCAGAUGUUGAAGGGAAACCGAAUAAGGUAUCAAAUCUCCAUCGUAGCAACAAUGAACCUGUUUAGAGUAGAAUGCUUAUUUUCGUUGUUGAUUAAUUAUUGAAAAAUCCUUAAGAUCCCAGUGAUAUAUAAGAUUUGCAUUUUGCAGUUCAGUGUAAUAAUUUUGAAUAUCAUUUUUCAAUGAAAGGAAGAAAGUUGGUAUUUA